GAUGAACGCUGGCGGCGUGCUUAACACAUGCAAGUCGAACGGAAAGGCCUCUGCUUGCAGAGGUACUCGAGUGGCGAACGGGUGAGUAACACGUGGGUGAUCUGCCCUGCACUUCGGGAUAAGCCUGGGAAACUGGGUCUAAUACCGGAUAGGACGAUGGUUUGGAUGCCAUUGUGGAAAGUUUUUUCGGUGUGGGAUGAGCUCGCGGCCUAUCAGCUUGUUGGUGGGGUAAUGGCCUACCAAGGCGUCGACGGGUAGCCGGCCUGAGAGGGUGUACGGCCACAUUGGGACUGAGAUACGGCCCAGACUCCUACGGGAGGCAGCAGUGGGGAAUAUUGCACAAUGGGCGCAAGCCUGAUGCAGCGACGCCGCGUGGGGGAUGACGGCCUUCGGGUUGUAAACUCCUUUCGUCAGGGACGAAGCGAAAGUGACGGUACCUGGAUAAGAAGCACCGGCUAACUACGUGCCAGCAGCCGCCGUAACAC
rnacentral:rRNA from 1 species